UACGAAGGGGCUAGCGUUGCUCGGAAUUACUGGGCGUAAAGCGCACGUAGGCGGUCUUUAAGUCGGGGUGAAUCCUGGAGCUCAACUCCAGAACUGCCUUCGAUACUGGAAGACUUGAGUCCGGAGAGGUGAGUGGAACUGCGAGUGUAGAGGUGAAUUCGUAGAUAUUCGCAAGAACACCAGUGGCGAAGCGGCUCACUGGCCGGUACUGACGCUGAGUGCGAAGCGUGGAGCAACAGG
rnacentral:rRNA from 1 species